UCCCUGGUGGUCUAGUGGUUAAGACUCUGCACUUCCACUGCAGGGGGCCUGGGUUCAAUCCCUGGUCAGGGAA